rnacentral:rRNA from 1 species
UACGGAAGGCAGCAGUGGGGAAUAUUGCACAAUGGGCGAAAGCCUGAUGCAGCUAUGCCGCGUGUAUGAAGAAGGCCUUAGGGUUGUAAAGUACUUUCAUCGGGGAGGAAAAAACAAAACUAAUAAUUUUAUUUCUUGACGUUACCCGAAAAAGAAGCACCGGCUAACUCCGUGCCAGCAGCCGCGGUAAUACGGAGGGUGCUAGCGUUAAUCAGAAUUACUGGGCGUAAAGAGCACGUAGGUGGUUUUUUUAAGUCAGAUGUGAAAUCCCUGGGCUUAACCUAGGAACUGCAUUUUGAAACUGAAAUACUAGAGUAUCGUAGAGGGAGGUAGAAUUCUAGGUGUAGCGGUGAAAUGCGUAGAUAUCUGGAGGAAUACCUGUGGCGAAAGCGGCCUCCUAAACGAAUACUGACACUGAGGGUGCGAAAGCGUGGGGAGCAAACGAGGGAUUAGAUACCCGU